rnacentral:lncRNA from 1 species
CGAAACUCAAAGAUACUUUCAAUCAACGCGUGCACUGUACACCUCCACUCAAUGGUUUACUCGUAAUUUCACCCUUCUCCAAAUUUCCUUCUUCAACUAACUUUCGCUAGCUCGUCAGAAUUAUCUCGGCAUUUUAUUCUUUUCUAUAAAUAUAUAAAAACCACAUCUUUAUCGCUCUCGAAACCUUCUCUUCUCUCUCUUUCUCUUCUCUUUGAAGCUCUACCCUUCUCUUCUCUCUCACAAACAUCUUUAAAGUAUCUCUAACAAGAAACUCUCUUUCUCUUCCGAUCUAUAUCGAUUCUGGUUUAUGAGGUAAUCAAUUCAAUUACUUUAAAGAUCUGAAUUUUAUUAAUUUUGUUUAUAAUUAGGUAUAAUACAAUUUCGAUCUUUCCAUCAUCAUUUUCAUGUUCAUUAAAUCUACGAUUUGUGUUCUACUAUCGAUCAAUUUCUUCUUACAUCUUGUUAUGGAAAUCUUUGAUCUGCAUCUGUUUUAUUAGGGUUUCUUGUUUCUUUUAACAUUUGGGGGUUUUCAAGAAUUCGUUUGGGAAAAUAUGUUUAUAGCAUUAGGUAUAGUUUGAUUUAAGUUUUUUUUUGAGGUGAUUUGCUCUUAUUGGUCGAAAUUGUGGUUUUCAAGUAUUAGGUAUUUUCUUGAUUAUGAGACAUGAGAGGUGUAAUUGUGAUUUUCUGAUGUUUUAUCAUUUGUUUUGGGGAGCUAUGGCUUGGUAAUUUUGUAAUAAAUUUUUUAAUGUUUUGAGGCAAAUAUUUGGGUUUAUACUGUGAUGGGCAUUUUUAUUUAGGUCUUAGAAUUCACUUUUAGUGGUUUGGUACUCUUUAUUGUUUUCAGGGAUAGAAUUUCCAUACAUGUUAGGUUAAAAUGUAUGUUUUUGUUGUAUUAGAGUUCAAAUGUUAGCUAUACUGAUAAUUUGCUCUUCUUUUGCAGCUCGAUGGAGAGACUCACUCUUGGGUAUGUUAUUUCUACACCAAUUGUUUCUUUUAAUAUUAGUUGCAAUUUUGCCAUAUUUUAUGACCAUUAGACAUCAAUGACUGAUGUUCUUGUUGUAUUUGUAUGAUUCUGAAUUACUUACAGUAAAUUGAUUUGUAUGUUUCAUGUAUUCAUGUUUAAUACUUGGAGUGUUUUAUCACUUUUAUGAUAUCCAUGUUACUAUAAAUCUGCAUUGAUGUAGAGUUUCAAAGUUACUAACUUGUUUUAGCUAUGACAAUGAUUCCGUUACACAGAAAAAUAAUUUAGUUAAUGUAUUGCUCUGAUCCCUGGACAAUACUUGCUUUAAACUUAUUGCUGUACUGCCAUGCUUUUUGGCUCAUAAUUGAUUGAACCCGUUGCAGAUUGUUUACCUUUUGUAGAUUUUAAUUGCAUUGUUGUUAUAUUUUCAAUGAUCUUUUUUUCUCAUUGAAUAUUGAACUCAAAAAUAAUAAUCUUGAUAUCUCCAACUCAUGUCUUGUUAAGAUCCCAGGUUUUGCAAGCGCCGAGAACUUUAUUAUAUUAAGAUUUUUGACAAUGAUAAAAUCCAUAAAUAUUUGGCCAUUGUAUACACAAACGGCGGUCUUAAGUUAAUUGUUUUGGUCUCCAAAGAAUUGGAAUACUUGUUAUUAAAGAUUGUGGGUAUGUGCAAAGAAAAAAAAGUUGGUUAUUAUCCUUGAGGAUAAGUCACGGAAUACCAUAACUUGUGACUGUCUUUUGGAGGAGGCUCCCAGUUACAGCAAUUCCUUUGCUUUUAAUUUCAACUUGAUCUUGAUUUUCAAUUUGUCUGUCAGUACCCUGUUGGCAACUAAAUCUUUCACUUCAUAAAGCUUGUUUUGCAUAUAAACCCUCAUAUCUUUAAUGCAUUUGUCUCUAUAAAAGCUUCAGCUAGUGUUGCUUUCUCUUCGAACUUCCUUUGAUUUUGUUCUCUCCAGAUAAAGUUAACAGUGGCACAAACCAAAAUUUUGAAUGCGUCUACAUUCAUACCCUUCUUCCUACUUCUCUGAAUAAUAUGUUCCCAAAUGGGUUUAAUUAACCCUAGUGAACUUAUCAGUUACCCAACCACUUUAUAAACACAUGGCAUCUAAUAAUUGGAUGUACACACCCAUAGACCAUAUGUUACACAUAUGAAUUUUUUUUGUGUGCUUGUGUGCAACGCCUCAUGUUGUUUUUAAUAACUGAUUUCACAAAAAUUGCAAGAAGAUCUUGGUCUAGCUUCCAAGUGGAAAGACAGAAAUGGAAACCUACCUCGAAACUCAAAGAUACUUUCAAUCAACACGUGCACUGUACACCUCCACUCAAUGGUUUACUCGUAAUUUCACCCUUCUCCAAAUUUCCUUCUUCAACUAACCUUCGCUAGCUCGUCAGAAUUAUCUCGGCAUUUUAUUCUUUUCUAUAAAUGUAUAAAAACCACAUCUUUCUCUCUCUCGAAACCUUCUCUUCUCUCUCUUUCUCUUCUCUU